rnacentral:rRNA from 1 species
AGUGAACGCUGGCGGUAGGCCUAACACAUGCAAGUCGAACGGCAGCACAGUAAGAGCUUGCUCUUACGGGUGGCGAGUGGCGGACGGGUGAGGAAUACAUCGGAAUCUACUUUUUCGUGGGGGAUAACGUAGGGAAACUUACGCUAAUACCGCAUACGACCUACGGGUGAAAGCAGGGGAUCUUCGGACCUUGCGCGAUUGAAUGAGCCGAUGUCGGAUUAGCUAGUUGGCGGGGUAAAGGCCCACCAAGGCGACAAUCCGUAGCUGGUCUGAGAGGAUGAUCAGCCACACUGGAACUGAGACACGGUCCAGACUCCUACGGGAGGCAGCAGUGGGGAAUAUUGGACAAUGGGCGCAAGCCUGAUCCAGCCAUGCCGCGUGGGUGAAGAAGGCCUUCGGGUUGUAAAGCCCUUUUGUUGGGAAAGAAAAGCAGCAGGUUAAUACCCCGCUGUUCUGACGGUACCCAAAGAAUAAGCACCGGCUAACUUCGUG